UACGGAGGGUGCGAGCGUUGUCCGGAAUCAUUGGGCGUAAAGGGCGCGUAGGUGGCCCGGUCAGUCUUUGGUGAAAGCGCGGGCUCAACCCUGCGUCGGCCAGGGAUACUGCCGCGGCUCGAGCACUGUAGAGGCAGGCGGAAUUCCGGUGGUAGCGGUGGAAUGCGUAGAUAUCUGGAGGAACACCGGUGGCGAAGGCGGCAUCCUGGACCGGCAUUGACGCUGAGGAGCGAAAGCCAGGGAGCAAAGCGGG
rnacentral:rRNA from 1 species